rnacentral:rRNA from 1 species
AACGAACGCUGGCGGCAGGCCUAACACAUGCAAGUCGAGCGCCCCGCAAGGGGAGCGGCGGACGGGUGAGUACCGCGUGGGAAUAUGCCCUUUGCUACGGAAUAGUCUCGGGAAACUGGGGGUAAUACCGUAUACGCCCUUUGGGGGAAAGAUUUAUCGGCGAAGGAUUAGCCCGCGUUGGAUUAGGUAGUUGGUGGGGUAAUGGCCUACCAAGCCGACGAUCCAUAGCUGGUUUGAGAGGAUGAUCAGCCACACUGGGACUGAGACACGGCCCAGACUCCUACGGGAGGCAGCAGUGGGGAAUCUUAGACAAUGGGGGCAACCCUGAUCGAGCCAUGCCGCGUGAGUGAUGAAGGCCUUAGGGUUGUAAAGCUCUUUCAGCUGGGAAGAUAAUGACGGUACCAGCAGAAGAAGCCCCGGCUAACUCCGUG